rnacentral:lncRNA from 1 species
UAUUUUUGUCCAAUCCAGUCACUAGUCUUAACCUAAUUUGUCACUAUAAAUAAACUCCCAAUCAUUGGAGAGAGGAGGCUGCACUGUUCACACACGGACACACCAAUCAUUGGCAGCCGCACCAAUUAAAGCAACAAACCCUAAUUUUCUUCCUUUCUUCAAUCUUUAGAAUCAAAACAAACAAAAAUCAUCAAAAGUCAUGAACAACCUAUGAAUGUCCAUCGUGAUCUCUUUUCACCUUUGUCGCGUCAUUUUUUGGAGAUCAAGGCUAUUUGAUUAGCUUUUGACUCACUAAUUAUUUCACGACUGAACAUUUAAUUUUAUUAAGAGAAGGGGAAAAAAGUUCAAACUACCCCUAUUUGAAAAGAUUUAGGGUUCGGGGGUUAGUUACAUAAAGGGAAGGUAUUAGCACCCUCUAUGUCCGCAGUACUCUACGGGAACCUCUUGGUUUUAUUUAAUUCAAUGUGCUAUAACUUGCUUGCUUUUGAAAAGAAGGAAUUAAUGUGAUGAAAAAGAAAAUAAAGUGAGACCUAAUUUAUCUACAUUUUUUAUUGUUUGGAAGGACGAGUGUCCUCUGCCUACGUACCCGUGAAGGAUCAAAACCUCGUAGUUCGGGGUAGAAAACAACGUUUGAUUGGUUUUGUGUUUUUUAUUAGUUUUGAAAAAGGUUUUAAAAAUAAAAGCCAAGUGGCAAAUAAGAAUUUGUUUGUAUUUUUUUAUUAAAAAAAAGGAGAUAACUCGAAGUAUGAUUAAAUUGAUUGAUAUUUGAUUAAAAAUAAAAUGAAAAAAAGGACGAUCACUUGAUUUAGGAUCAAGGUUUAUUAUGGAAAAAUGUUUUUUUUGGUUUUUUGGUUAUUUGCAUGUUUUUGUGAUUUUUGAAUAAAUAUAUAAACUAACGGAGCAUAAAGAAUAAAAGCGCGGCUACCCUAAGUUAGAGAUAUAAAAUCUAUGACUAUUACAUAAAAAGCCUAUUUACAUUCUAAGGUCUGCAAUAAAAUUAAAAUGCUAAGAUAAAUAAAUAAAUACGAAAAAAGAAUAAAAAAAAGGUCCAAACACAUGGUGGGGUGCAGUGGUAAACAGGGGUGUGCAGAAAGCAGAAAAAAAAGAAUUGGGCUUAAGGAAACGAACCGGGUCGCGGGUCAUGGGUCAUGGGUCGACCCGGUUUAGGGAUAUAUAAGGGUUGUAAACCCUAAUUCCUUCAUUUCUUCUCCCUCCUUCUCUCUCUUCCGUCCCCUUCUCUCUCUAGCUCUCUUCUUCUCCGGCGGAGUGUGUGGGGCGGCCGGGAGAAUUCCGGCGCGGUGGCCGGCGAGCCAUCGCGGCUGCGCCGCCGCGCCGGAGCUAAAAAAGCUCCCUUUUUUUUAUUUUUUUUCGCUCUUUCUCUUCUACUUCCCUCCCUCCGUUCACUUCUAAACCUAGAUGUUCAAAAACAUACACACAGAGACCUAGAUCUAAAGGUAAAGAAAAUACUACCUCUUUUUGUUUUUUGUGAAUCCGGUUUUGUUAUGGUGCUGGCUUGCGAUUCCCUUUUGUGCGUGCGUUACCGUCUGUGUGUGUGCCCGGUUCGUGGUGUGAUUGUCGCUGUUGUGACGGUUUGGGGUUGCGCGCCUCUGUGUGUGCGUGUGUGUGUUGUGUUGCGCGCCGGUUCUGCCUUCUUCUUUGGAUCUUGUUGUUGUUGUUUAUCGCUUGCGAUUGCUCCUGCUUCUGUUGCUUUUCUGUGUUUCUCUGUAUGUGUUUGUUGUGCGAUGCCGUCCUCUGCUUUUUUUCGUGUUUUUCUUGUGUUGUGCAGGUCUCUAUUUAUAGCACUGGGUUGGGGCUAGGGUUUGUUGAGAAUGAGCAGAAAAUCAGUAGCUUGUGGAGGAGAAAAGGGACUUGUUUCUGUUCCGUUUUUUGCAGAUAAGGCUGGGAAUUGGAUUGGGAUGGAGAAAGAAAGGAAACGCGUACUGGAUUUGUUUCAGAGGAAGUGUGAACUGGAUUCGGACUGGAACAGCAUACGCGUGAUGCUGUUAUUCUGAACCUGGACACUUUUGGACUUUGGACUUUUUGGACUUAAAAAGAAAAAAUAAUUAAAAGGAUAAUAUCUACAUUUUUGGUUUUAAAUAACAAGAAAAAUUUAAAAUGGGAAUAAAAGAAAUUUAAUCUAACUUGGACUAAAAUUAAAAUUAGAGUUCUAAAUUAAAAGAUGGAAAUAAAUAAUUAAAGACUGAGAGAAGAGGGCCCGAUUCGGAACUUUAUGAGGUAUUUCAAAAUACCUCCCUGCCGAAUUUUUUACUGAAAUGUGAGUCUGGUCCGAGUUCGGGGACGUGUGUCAGUGGGACCUUAGGUCAAAAUUUGGGGUAUGACAACCUUCCUUUUAGAAUCAAUCAUAAAUCUCAACAAACCACAACAAUAACUUGUUUCCUCUCUACUAAUCCAACACGUUUCCGGCGACGAGAUUAAACUCACCAACAAUAAAUCGGAUCGGAGCGUGAAGGAAGAAGAAGAAAUCGAACCGGCCUUACAACGCUGAAGCACAAACCGAAUCGGCUCCUCCUUGUUAGAGCAGAUCGGAAUCCGAGGUAAAGAAUGUAGUAUUUUAUUUUCGUGUUGUUUGAUUGUAGAUCUAGAACGUGUUGUUGCUUUUCUUUGAAAUCUAAGUCCGGAUCUAUCAUCUACACGAAAAAGGAUAUAAUAAUAUGUAAUUGUUUUUGAAAAAGGAGUGUUUUGAAAACUCCGGCACGGUGGUACACCACCGGCCACCGUGCCGGGAUUUGAAAUCUCGUCGGAGAAGAAGGAGUUUGGGGGCGGUGAUUUUUCUAGAGAGAAGGAGGAAGUUUUUGUUUAGAGAGAGAAAGUAAUAUAUGUUAUGUUUUUUUGUUAAGGAAUUUG